UUUUAAAAACAUUUCUGUCCUCAUGUGGUGCAGGUUGUGGGCGGUACAAACUACCGAAUAAAGUUCAAGACCACCGAAUCAACCUGCAGGGUAGCAGAGACUUACAGCGAAGAGGUUUGCCUUCCUAAAUCCAGAUAGACGGUCAAGGAUACCUGCAGCGCUGUCAUCUAUGACGUGCCGUGGCUGAAUGAACGAUCGGUGUCCUCUUUCACCUGCGAAGUAAACACUGUUUCCACGUAAAGAAACAAACUUAUGACAUCUCGACAAUGUAGCAGUACUGAUUCUAUUACGAUCCUCUCUUUGCGUGUAUUGAAUGUCAUAUAUGGAAUAAACGGCCGGCUAGUGCCACUUUAGUAAA